rnacentral:rRNA from 1 species
AUACGGAGGGUGCAAGCGUUACUCGGAAUCACUGGGCGUAAAGCGCGCGCAGGCGGCUAUUUAAGUUGGAUGUGAAAGCCUACGGCUUAACCGUAGAACUGCAUCCAAAACUAUUUAGCUAGAGUGUGGGAGAGGAAGAUGGAAUUAGUUGUGUAGGGGUAAAAUCCGUAGAGAUAACUAGGAAUACCAAAAGCGAAGGCAAUCUUCUGGAACACUACUGACGCUGAGGCGCGAAAGCGUGGGGAGCAAACAGGAUUAGAAACCCUAGUAGUCC